GAUGAAGAACGUAGCGAAAUGCGAUACGUAAUGUGAAUUGCAGAAUUCAGUGAAUCAUCGAAUCUUUGAACGCACAUUGCGCCCGCCAGCACUCUGGCGGGCAUGCCUGUUCGAGCGUCAUUUCAACCAUCAAGCCCCAGGCUUGCGUUGGAGCCCUGCGGCUGCCGCAGCCUCCUAAAAGCAGUGGCGGGCUCGCUAGUCACACCGAGCGCAGUAGCACAUCUCGCUCAGGGCGUGCGGCGGGUUCUUGCCGUAAAACAACCCCCCCUUUUCACCAAGGUUGACCUCGGAUCAGGUAGGAAUACCCGCUGAACUUAAGCAUAUCAAUAAGCGGAGGA
rnacentral:misc_RNA from 1 species